ensembl:lncRNA
AUAAUGUUUUCCUGGUUCUACUCAUUUCACUCUGCAUCAUUCCAUAUGUCUUUCAAGGUUUUUUGGGUGAUCAUCUAGUUUAUCAUUUUUUAUGAUUCAAUAGUAUCCAUUACAAUUCUAUACCACAACUUGUUCAACCAUCCCCAUUUGAUGUACAUCCCUUCAGUUUCCAGGACUUUGCCACCACAAAAAUGUUGCUUGAAAUAUUUUUGUACAACUAGGCUUUUUCUCCUAUCUUCAGUCUCUUGGAUACAGACUUAUUAGUAGAAAUGCUGGGUCAAAGGGUAUGCACAGUUUUAUGGCCCUUUCAGCAUGGUUCCAGAGACCUCCGGAAUGGACUAUGUACUUUUGGUUUUGUAUAAUGCUCCAACCCUUGAAGAUGAGAAGAUUGUUGUAGAAACAUGAUGGUUUUUGUUUUUUUUUCAAUGACUUUGUUUUUAGGUAGAUUCUUCAAAGUCUCCAGGAAACAUACUAGUGUACAACAGAAGAAAUUACAAGGAUUGCUUUUAUAUGAAAAGGAGGGGAAGCAUGAAGCAUUGGAUAAAAUAUGGGGUUUGGACUCAGAGGAUCUGGGUUGGAAUUGUGCCUCUCCCACUAUCUCUGUGACCUUAGAUAGUGAAAACAUCUGUUCACCCACAAAGUGCUUCAUGCCAGCUGACACAGACCAGGAAGAGAAGCAGAAGAACACUGUUGACAUCAGCUAUCUACAUGCCAGCCACAAUCCAGGCACGCUGGAAGGACACUUCUUUGGUGACUAAUAUCACUCCAGAACAAUGACAUUACACUAUUAGAGACAUUUGCUAUUAGGCUACUGAUGGACACUUGUCAUGCUGACAUCCAUUGAUAUGUUGUACCCAGAACAACAUCAAGUAUGCUAACUCAGAAGGACUAAGACACAUUCAUGUCUGUAUAAGACACCAGAUAUAUCCCACACUCCAAAGACUACUAUGGGAUUGAGAUGAAAUAGCUACAAUUGUUUAGCUACUAAUGUAUAUCUUGUAUUUUGUAUAUGAUACUGUCAAAAGAAAUUUAUAUUGUAUUGCAUUGUAAAUCUACCACUUGUAUUGUAAGAAAUGCUACUAUCAACAAGGGUAUAGACAUUGGUAUGGCUCUACAAAGAGUAGGAAAUAGAAAACUUUCAUUCAUAGCAUAGAUCUGAUACCUCUGACAACAAAAAUGAGGUGCUAAGCAGAAGAUGCUGCACAGGCAUGUGUAAUGGACAGAUGAUACUGAUUUUACUCUCAAGAAAGGAUGAGAGAUCAGGCAAAGUGCACUAUGAAAUCUUUAAUCAGGGAUCUGAGUUAUUGUAAAAGAUCAUUGACAUCCAGGCAAAGAUUAUGUUCCUGACAAUACCUGGAUGGACAUUAUGGGCUGACUACCAUAGGUGUAGUUAAGUUUUAAUAUCGUUGUUAACCAUUAUUACUCCUGAUACCCUGUCUUUGUUGGUAAUAUCUUGAUAAGAACAGUUUCUUGCUCUAUCCCAACAGUCCCAGAAUUCAGACGGCUGCUGGAUUCAGGGUCUAUUGGCUUCCCUUUCACAUACUGGAAGACAUUCUAGUAUGUGAAAGUAAGACCUCAGGAGCAAACUGAGGACUCUGGGUUUGACAAUUUCUGUGGACAUUCAGUCAUUGUCUCUCCUAGGUGGAACAAAUUAUUACACAAAUACAUGGAGCAAGGGCAAAGUAUAAUCUAAGUUUCUCUUUGUUGGAGUAUGUAUUGGAAAUAUGACACAAUAGGCACAGAUAAGCUCAUAGAAAA